CAGGGUUACCGUGGGUUAUAAUGUCUGAGGUAUUCCCAAUAAAUGUUAAAGGGUCAGCUGGAAGCGUGGUGACCUUCUCCAGGUGGUCCUGUUCUUGGAUUGUUACCUACACCUUCAACUUCAUGCUCGAAUGGAGUGCACCUGGAACCUUUCUGAUUUUCGCAUGCGUUUGCGGUUUGUCUGUUGUAUUCGCUGCGAAGCUAAGGCCGGAG